rnacentral:tRNA from 1 species
GCGGAUGUAACUCAAUGGUAGAGUACUGGCUUCCCAAGCCAGCUGUUGCGGGUUCGAGCCCCGUCAUCCGCUCAA